UACGGGGGGGGUAAGCGUUGUUCGGAAUUACUGGGCGUAAAGGGCUCGUAGGCGGCCAACUAAGUCAUACGUGAAAUCCCUCAGCUUAACUGGGGAACUGCGUGUGAUACUGGAUGGCUUGGAUUUGGGAGAGGGAUGCGGAAUUCCAGGUGUAGCGGUGAAAUGCGUAGAUAUCGGGAGGAACACCAGUGGCGAAGGCGGCACUCUGGGCCGGUACUGACGCUGAGGAGCGAAAGCGUGGGGAGCGAACAGG
rnacentral:rRNA from 1 species